rnacentral:rRNA from 1 species
UACGUAGGGGGCGAGCGUUGUCCGAAGUUACUGGGCGUAAGGCGCGCGUAGGCGGCUUCUUAAGUCUGGGGUGAAAGGUUCAGUGCUCAACACGAACAGUGCCUUGGAUACUGGGAAGCUUGAGUGUGGCAGAGGAUAGUGGAAUGGCUGGUGUAGCGGUGAAAUGCGUAGAUAUCAGUCGGAACACCCAUGGCGAAGGCAGCUCGCUGGAACGUAACUGACGCUGAGACGCGAAAGCGUGGGGAGCAAACAGG